CUUAGUACGGCGAGUGAAGCGGCAAAAGCUCAAAUUUGAAAUCUGGUACCUUCGGUGCCCGAGUUGUAAUUUGGAGAGGGCAACUUUGGGGCCGUUCCUUGUCUAUGUUCCUUGGAACAGGACGUCAUAGAGGGUGAGAAUCCCGUGUGGCGAGGAGUGCGGUUCUUUGUAAAGUGCCUUCGAAGAGUCGAGUUGUUUGGGAAUGCAGCUCUAAGUGGGUGGUAAAUUCCAUCUAAAGCUAAAUAUUGGCGAGAGACCGAUAGCGAACAAGUACAGUGAUGGAAAGAUGAAAAGAACUUUGAAAAGAGAGUGAAAAAGUACGUGAAAUUGUUGAAAGGGAAGGGCAUUUGAUCAGACAUGGUGUUUUGUGCCCUCUGCUCCUUGUGGGUAGGGGAAUCUCGCAUUUCACUGGGCCAGCAUCAGUUUUGGUGGCAGGAUAAAUCCAUAGGAAUGUAGCUUGCCUCGGUAAGUAUUAUAGCCUGUGGGAAUACUGCCAGCUGGGACUGAGGACUGCGACGUAAGUCAAGGAUGCUGGCAUAAUGGUUAUAUGCCGCCCGUCUUGAAACACGGACC
rnacentral:rRNA from 1 species